UACGGAAGGUGCAAGCGUUAAUCGGAAUUACUGGGCGUAAAGCGCGCGUAGGUGGUUUGGUUAGUCGGAUGUGAAAGCCCUGGGCUCAACCCGGGAAUGACAUUCGAUACUGCCUGACUAGAGUGUGGUAGAGGGAAGUGGAAUUCCGCAUGUAGCGGUGAAAUGCGUAGAGAUGCGGAGGAACACCAAUGGCGAAGGCAACUUCCUGGAUCAACACUGACACUGAGGUGCGAAAGCGUGGGGAGCAAACAGG
rnacentral:rRNA from 1 species